UACAAGUAUAUGCAUGUAUAUGUAUAUAUACAUUAUACACAUAAAAAUAUAUCCUUGCCUUGUUCACCUUUCAUUAAAAUAAAGCAUAAUAUGCCAAAUAGUGUCUGUCUGUAUUAAACUCCAUUUCUACCCCCUGCUCUCUGUUCCAUAUUGAAGAGGUUGAAAAACUAAAAAUGACAUUCUUUAGACUCCUUUUUUAGUUUGAUUCUGAUUAGUUCCCGUCAGCAGAAGCAGCAGAAAAAGGAUGGAAAAAUUGGAGCUCAAAAAGCAUUUGUACGUAGGGUUGAUGCAUUAAUUCUAUUUUCUCUCUUUUGCUUCUCUAGUCCUAGAAGAAGGGUUUCAGAUACUUCCCCCACUUUCUGAUCUCUGGAUCGUACUACCAUUUCCUAGUGUUUCCUGUAACCCUUUCUGACAAUUUUUAGGUAUAUUUCUGUACCAAAUUUUCUUCUGUUUGAAAUUCUUAAAGUGGUUUCUAUAUUUUUGAACAGAUCGUGGCUGAUGGAUAUACUGAAGGCAAGAACGAUAUUAGUUGAACAAGGAAAUACACUUGAUCCAAAUUGUGAAGUUCUCUGCAGUGAAAUAUUAAAGAUUAACAAGCUAAACAGAGAAGGAUAACACUCAAGAAGUUGCCUAUAUUCCUUUGAGAACUUUCAAAUGGCUCCUUCCUACAAAAGACCUGGGAAUACUUAACCUCCCACCACCAGCACACUCAAAGCUCAAGGCAAAUGCAUUUUCAAGAUUGACAGGGUCUUGGACUCUGAAAGUCUUUGGACCUGAGAAAAAUCGUGUUAUCUAAGAGUGCAGUUAUUCUGACACAGACUCACAUAAGGUGCCCAUGACAUGAAACACGGAAGAGAAUAAUAGCAUCUACCUUAAAGAAAGACAUAGUAUAUUCUGGACCACAUAUUUGGUAAUUCUUACAGCCCUUUAAGAUAAUAUUCUAGUUAUGAUUAUCUUUAUUUUGUAGCUCAUAGAUGUCAAAAUACUAGCUCAUAAUUUUAUUGCAAGUACAUAGCAGAACCAACAUUUGAACUCAGACCUGUCUCAUUCCACAACUAAUAUUCCUUGAAGUCAAUAGAUGCCACUGAUCUCUAAAUGAUCUACAAAAGGGGUUCGGAGGUGGAGAGGGGAUGUCUGAGGAGCCUGAGGACUACCACCCAAUGCUCUGUCUUUAAAUAGAGAUGCUAUCAUAAAUAGAGAUGCUUAAAUAGAGAUGCUAUCACCAAGGUCUCUUUCACACAUACUCCUUCUCUUGCUCAUUUCUAUUCGUGUACUUGGUUCUCAGUGUAAAAUUUUGUUAGAAGAAAGAGGCAUGUUGGUAAAAUAAGAAAUAAUAUAUCAAAAAUAAAAUCAUUUGAAAGUCUCCGCAGUGCUUUAACAAUGAAAGAAAUAUCUAUGCACACUUUGUAGUUUGCUAAAUACAUAAUUAAAUUAGAAAACUAUGUAGAGCCAAGGCAGGCAGAUCAUGAGGUCAG